AUUAUUUUCCAGCUCAUAAGCAGGAUGAUUGGGUGCUCACACGUUGGUCUGAAAUGUGCCUCCCUUAGAUCUUGUUACACACUUGGCACAUUACCCACCCAACG